AGGAGGAACAACCCCAGUGGUGGGGCCAGCUCUGGAGCCCUGGAUUCAGCUCCCGCAGUAACUCCGGAGCUCUCCGUCUGCAGGGCCUGGAGGCUCCGGGGCGGG
rnacentral:pre_miRNA from 1 species